UCUUUUCGUUCUGUUCUGUCCUUCCUUCCUUUCUAUCCUGUUCUUUCUUUUUUUUCUCCUUACUCUUUUGUUCUUUCUUGUUUUUUCUUACUUCCUGUCUGCUCUUUCUUUCUUUUGUUUGGUUGUGUAGGUAUAGCGUGCACGCUGGUUUUUUGUCCAUCAUAUUUUGGUUCAAUUUUUUUUAGCAAAUUUUCUUUUGUUUUGGUCUUACGUUUUUGUGGCAGAGCAGAGGAAGAGGCCGAGCAACCCAGGGCAAAUUCUUCUUUCAGAGACGUGACGAGGAGGGCUUCAGUUCCCGAAACAUUGAAUCCGCCAAAAAGGGUGAAAGACAGGGAGGUUACAUUGGAGAGAAAGGUGGAGAGAGCUCGCAGAUGAAUGGAUGAAAAGUGAUGGAAAAGUUGGUGUAGCUACCAUAGCAGCAGUGCAAGAAGUCCAUAAAAUAGAGCAGUCAGAACAUAAAUGUUAUUUGAAGCUGGAUGACAGUCAUUGUAGCAAACAAGAAACCACAACAGAAAAAGCAAAUAGUGGGGUAUUAGGAAGGGAUGCUCAAAAUUAGUCGGAUGGAGAGCUUCAAGACUAUCCGAUGAUAAGUACAAAUCCAAUGGUCUUCAUUGCUGGUCCUAGGAGAUGGUAGAAAGAAAGCGGGACAUGGUGUAUGGUGGAAGAAGUGUUGGAGUAAUUGGAGUAAUGGGCUUGAUUUCUCACGUUGUUCAUGAUGGUGGCUGCCAUGUUCUUAGAUAUUUGUAGAUGCAGUUG